rfam:Sarcophilus harrisii ctg7180001638634, whole genome shotgun sequence.
GCCCGGCUAGCUCAGUCGGUAGAGCAUGGGACUCUUAAUCCCAGGGU